ACCCCGAUAGCUUAAAUUUAUAGAGCAUAGCACUGAAGAUGCUAAGGUAGCAAGCAUGCUUCAGGGUGAGC
rnacentral:tRNA from 1 species